rnacentral:rRNA from 1 species
UACGUAGGGGGCAAGCGUUGUCCGGAUUUAUUGGGCGUAAAGAGCGUGUAGGCGGCCAGGUAGGUCAGCUGUGAAAACUCGAGGCUCAACCUCGAGACGUCGGUUGAAACCACCUGGCUAGAGUCCGGAAGAGGAGAGUGGAAUUCCUGGUGUAGCGGUGAAAUGCGCAGAUAUCAGGAAGAACACCCGUGGCGAAGGCGGCUCUCUGGGACGGUGCUGACGCUGAGACGCGAAAGCGUGGGGAGCGAACAGG